UGUAAGCGUAUACCAAAGUUGUUGCAGUUAAAACGCUCGUAGUCGGAAUUUGGCAGUUCCGGAUGUGUGCACGUCGUGUGCGCACUUCGCGGGGAUUGCUUUUGUGGUCUUGCGUAGGAUGAGGCACUUUUAUUAGUGAACGUCCUCACGCAACCACUUUUUACUGUGAGAAAAUCAGAGUGCUCAAAGCAGGCAUUUGCCGUGAAUGUAUUAGCAUGGAAUAAUAGAAUAGGACUUGGUUCUAUUUUGUUGGUUUGUUGGGACUGAGUAAUGAUUAAGAGGGACAGUCGGGGGCAUUUGUAUUUCGGUGCUAGAGGUGAAAUUCUUAGAUUACCGAAAGACAAACUGCUGCGAAAGCGUCUGCCAAGGAUGUUUUCAUUGA
rnacentral:rRNA from 1 species